AAUGAUGGAAUGACUCUCGGCAACGGAUAUCUCGGCUCUCGCAUCGAUGAAGAACGUAGCGAAAUGCGAUACGUGGUGUGAAUUGCAGAAUCCCGUGAACCAUCGAGUUUUUGAACGCAAGUUGCGCCCGAGGCCAUUUGGCCGAGGGCACGCCUGCCUGGGCGUCAGCU
rnacentral:rRNA from 1 species